rnacentral:lncRNA from 1 species
AUGAGAUUUUACAAAAUAAGACCAUACCACACUUUCCUAUUUCCCUGAUGCCUAGAACAGUUCCUUAACAUAGGAGGUAGGUUACAAAGGUUUAUUGAAUGAAAGGAUAUGACUUGUAAAUGUAUAUUUUGUGUCUACUAUUUAAGAUCCACAAAGAAAUCAUCAAAGCCAUGUGAAAACAUGGUAACCAUUGAUCAAACAAUGUAAUAUUAUCACUAUAGUUUCUCAGUAGGUCACAAUCCCUCAAGACUCCGCAGUCAAAAUGGAACUCUACAUUGUUUCAUAGCCUCUUUUUUAGAUUGGAGUCCAAGAGCUACAUCAGAAGUAAGUGGAGAACCUAGGAAUUGGAGAGGAUAGAGUAAAGAUUGAUCCCAAAGAGCAAAGACCAUUCAUCUAAACUUAGAAACAGAAAAGUGGAAUGUAUGACAUUGAAGAGAGUGUCCAAACAUAGCAUCAAAAAGAUUUAUUUUCUUCAUCAGUACUGAAUGAUUCCUGACAACCAUCUAGCAGCAUUAUUUGUGGGUUGUUCUCUAACACCUCACCCCAAUAUAUAUAUAUAGUAAAGUAACACUGAUAAGUUAAGGUAAACAAGAUAUCUAAAUACCAUUACACAAAAAUCAGGGGUCUGUGAUGGCUGAACAAAUUGCCCUAUGUACUAGAGAGGGGAAAUCAGAAGAUGUCACACCAGGAAGUAGUUGAAUGAAAGAAGCUGAAUCUUGAGCCCCCCUUCCCUCUCUACUUCCUGUUCUUCCUUUCACCAAGCAACCUAAUGGAGGUUUUCUUCACAGAUGAAAACUAUCUCUCAUAACAAAACCUGCCAAGGAAAGAGAAGGGAGGGAGUAGGAGAAAGCAGUUCCCCCAAAGCUACCCACAUCAAAAAUGAACAACUAAAACAGUCCUGUAUAGAGGCAAUUAGGAAGCAUAAUGGAUCGAGUGCCAGGAGUCAUAGGAUCUGGUUUCAAAUCUGGCCUCAGCCACUUCUUAGCUGGAUGACUCUGGAGAAUUGCCUGGGAAGGAAACUACUUCUCCCAAAGAAGAUCAGCACCUGCUCUGCAAUGUCAGUCUUAGAGAGGAAUGUGGAGCACGGAGAAGUUCAAUGUCAUCCUCUCCAUGGAACCGCAUUGGAGGUAACACUUGCACUCCUCAGUGCUCCUCCUGCCUCUGCUCUAAGAUGGGCUCUCCACAUACUCCACUUAUCCAUACUGCCUUGCAGAGAAGAUAUUCUAUAUAGGUUUUAAUAAAUGAAUUUAAACCGGACCCCUCAUCCCCUCCAUUACUUAUUGAUCUGCUCCCUAUAAUUCUUUCAGGCUCUACUGACUGCAAUCUCCAUCGAUUUCUUUCUCUCUUUUUUUGUGGGAGGGGGUGGGGGGACAGGGAGUAAGGUGGAGGAGAGAAGAGAAGGGAUCUAACAGUAGCUGUCCAGUAGGGGCAGUUUUAUAAGGAAGUGGGGGGGACCAAAAUAAUGAAUGCUAUUAAGUGUCUCAAUGAACUUAGAGAACUGAGUUCAAAUAUCAGGUCUGUUACUUGGUACCUUAGUUGUUCAUCCUCCAUUCUCAAAGAGGACCAAUGACCAUGACGAGUGAUGUGUUGCCUUGUACCUGAAUUGGAUCUAAGUGAAGCAGAGCUGCACAAAGUCUUUAGCCUCCUUCUCUCUUCCAGAAUC